UUCUUAUCAGCUUAAUAUCUGAUACAGUCCCCAUCGGGGGCUUCAGUAUAUUAAUCUGAUUUUUGGAAACAGGAGAGGGAUAAUGCGGUUUACUGCGACCUCUCCAAGGGUCGUUCCGGUAUUGCAGAAUCCGCCGGAGUUGGCCCACUUUCA